rnacentral:sRNA from 1 species
AAUGACGAAGACUCAUAUGGACUUCGGCUACACCAUCAAAGCUUUGAGAAGCAAGAAGUAGCGUGGUUAGUGUUUUGGAGUCGAAUAUGACUUGAUGUCAUGUGUAUGAGUGAGUAUAAAAUCUAGAACCGCAACGGAUCUUAAAAGCCUAAAUAUUGUAUCCUUGUUAGAAGAUACAUAGACAAAGAGUCAUACGAAAUUCGGCUAAACCAUCAAAGCUUUUAGAAGCAAUAAGAAGCUUGGUUAGUGUUUUGGAGUAAAAUAU